rnacentral:sRNA from 1 species
UAACGGCGAGCAAACCG